rnacentral:rRNA from 1 species
GAUCCUGGCUCAGGACGAACGCUGGCGGCGUGCCUAAUACAUGCAAGUAGGACGCACAGUCUAUACCGUAGCUUGCUACACCAUAGGCUGUGAGUUGCGAACGGGUGAGUAACGCGUAGGUAACCUGCCUAUUAGAGGGGGAUAACUAUUGGAAACGAUAGCUAAUACCGCAUAAUAGUAUGUAACACAUGUUAGAUGCUUGAAAGAUGCAAUUGCAU